rnacentral:rRNA from 1 species
AUGCUUAACACAUGCAAGUCGAACGGAAACGACAACAUUGAAUCUUCGGAGGAUUUGUUGGGCGUCGAGCGGCGGACGGGUGAGUAAUGCCUAGGAAAUUGCCUUGAUGUGGGGGAUAACCAUUGGAAACGAUGGCUAAUACCGCAUAAUGCCUACGGGCCAAAGAGGGGGAUCUUCGGACCUCUCGCGUCAAGAUAUGCCUAGGUGGGAUUAGCUAGUUGGUGAGGUAAUGGCUCACCAAGGCGACGAUCCCUAGCUGGUCUGAGAGGAUGAUCAGCCACACUGGAACUGAGACACGGUCCAGACUCCUACGGGAGGCAGCAGUGGGGAAUAUUGCACAAUGGGCGCAAGCCUGAUGCAGCCAUGCCGCGUGUAUGAAGAAGGCCUUCGGGUUGUAAAGUACUUUCAGUUGUGAGGAAGGGGGUAACGUUAAUAGCGUUAUCUCUUGACGUUAGCAACAGAAGAAGCACCGGCUAACUCCGUGCCAGCAGCCGCGGUAAUACGGAGGGUGCGAGCGUUAAUCGGAAUUACUGGGCGUAAAGCGCAUGCAGGUGGUUCAUUAAGUCAGAUGUGAAAGCCCGGGGCUCAACCUCGGAACUGCAUUCGAAACUGGUGAACUAGAGUGCUGUAGAGGGGGGUAGAAUUUCAGGUGUAGCGGUGAAAUGCGUAGAGAUCUGAAGGAACACCAGUGG